rnacentral:rRNA from 1 species
UACAGAGGUCUCAAGCGUUGUUCGGAUUCAUUGGGCGUAAAGGGUGCGUAGGUGGCUUGGUAAGUCGGAUGUGAAAUCCCGGGGCUCAACCCCGGAACUGCAUUCGAUACGGGCUGACUAGAGUUCGGUAGGGGAGACUGGAAUUCCUGGUGUAGCGGUGAAAUGCGCAGAUAUCAGGAGGAACACCGGUGGCGAAGGCGGGUCUCUGGGCCGAUACUGACGCUGAGGAGCGAAAGCGUGGGGAGCGAACAGG